rnacentral:rRNA from 1 species
GCAUAUCAAUAAGCGGAGGAAAAGAAACCAACAGGGAUUGCCCUAGUAACGGCGAAGUGAAGCGGCAACAGCUCAAAUUUGAAAUCUGGCUCUCGGGCCCGAGUUGUAAUUUGUAGAGGAUGCUUUUGGUGCGGUGCCUUCCGAGUUCCCUGGAACGGGACGCCAUAGAGGGUGAGAGCCCCGUCUGGUCGGACACCAAUCCUCUGUAAAGCUCCUUCGACGAGUCGAGUAGUUUGGGAAUGCUGCUCUAAAUGGGAGGUAUAUGUCUUCUAAAGCUAAAUAUAGGCCAGAGACCGAUAGCGCACAAGUAGAGUGAUCGAAAGAUGAAAAGCACUUUGAAAAGAGAGUUAAAAAGUACGUGAAAUUGUUGAAAGGGAAGCGCUUGUGACCAGACUUGGGGCCGGUGAAUCAUCCAGCGUUCUCGCUGGUGCACUUCGCCGGUCCUAGGCCAGCAUCAGUUUGCCCCGGGGGACAAAGGCUUCGGGAAUGUGGCUCCUCCGGGAGUGUUAUAGCCCGUCGCGUAAUACCCUGGGGCGGACUGAGGUUCGCGCAUCUGCAUGGAUGCUGGCGUAAUGGUCAUCAGCGACCCGUCUUGAAACACGGACCAAGGAGUCGUCUUCGUAUGCGAGUGUUCGGGUGUCAAACCCCUACGCGUAAUGAAAGUGAACGCAGGUGAGAGCUUCGGCGCAUCAUCGACCGAUCCUGAUGUUCUCGGAUGGAUUUGAGUAAGAGCAUACGGGGCCGGACCCGAAAGAAGGUGAACUAUGCCUGUAUAGGGUGAAGCCAGAGGAAACUCUGGUGGAGGCUCGCAGCGGUUCUGACGUGCAAAUCGAUCGUCAAAUAUGGGCAUGGGGGGCGAAAGACUAAUCGAACCUUCUAGUAGCUGGUUUCCGCGA